CCUACGGGUGGCAGCAGUGGGGGAUAUUGGACAAUGGGGGGAACCCUGAUCCAGCGACGCCGCGUGAGUGAAGAAGUAUUUCGGUACGUAAAGCUCUAUCAGCAGGGAAGAAAAUGACGGUACCUGACUAAGAAGCCCCGGCUAACUACGUGCCAGCAGCCGCGGUAAUACGUAGGGGGCAAGCGUUAUCCGGAUUUACUGGGUGUAAAGGGGGCGUAGACGGGGCAGCAAGCCUGAUGUGAAAGGUCGGGGCCCAACCCCGGGACUGCAUUGGAAACUGUGUAGCUGGAGUGCAGGAGGGGUAAGCGGAAUUCCUGGUGUAGCGGUGAAAUGCGUAGAUAUCAGGAGGAACACCAGUGGCGAAGGCGGCCUACUGGACUGCAACUGACGUUGAGGCCCGAAAGCGUGGGGAGCAAACAGGAUUAGAUACCCUAGUAGUC
rnacentral:rRNA from 1 species